rnacentral:rRNA from 1 species
GACGGAGGGGGCAAGCGUUGUUCGGAAUUAUUGGGCGUAAAGGGCUCGUAGGCGGCCCGCUAAGUCGAACGUGAAAUCCCCGAGCUCAACUCGGGAACUGCGUCCGAUACUGGCGGGCUAGAGUUCGGUAGGGGAGACUGGAAUUCCUGGUGUAGCGGUGAAAUGCGCAGAUAUCAGGAGGAACACCGGUGGCGAAGGCGGGUCUCUGGGCAACAACUGACGCUGGAGGAGCGAAAGCGUGGGGAGCGAACAGG